CGUACACUCCUACGGGAGGCAGCAGUGGGGAAUAUUGGACAAUGGGCGCAAGCCUGAUCCAGCCAUGCCGCGUGAGUGAUGAAGGCCCUAGGGUUGUAAAGCUCUUUCACCGGUGAAGAUAAUGACGGUAACCGGAGAAGAAGCCCCGGCUAACUUCGUGCCAGCAGCCGCGGUAAUACGAAGGGGGCUAGCGUUGUUCGGAUUUACUGGGCGUAAAGCGCACGUAGGCGGACUAUUAAGUCAGGGGUGAAAUCCCGGGGCUCAACCCCGGAACUGCCUUUGAUACUGGUAGUCUUGAGUUCGAGAGAGGUGAGUGGAAUUCCGAGUGCAGAGGUGAAAUUCGUAGAUAUUCGGAGGAACACCAGUGGCGAAGGCGGCUCACUGGCUCGAUACUGACGCUGAGGUGCGAAAGCGUGGGGAGCAAACAGGAUUAGAAACCCCGGUAGUCCCAUGAU
rnacentral:rRNA from 1 species